AAACUAUUAUUUUAGUGUUUUGAAAACUCUAAUAAGAAUUUAAAGUUCUAUAGUUUU
rnacentral:tRNA from 1 species